UACGAAGGGGGCGAGCGUUAUUCGGAAUCACUGGGCGUAAAGCGUGCGUAGGCUGUUUUACAAGUUGGAAGUGAAAGCCCAGGGCUCAACCCUGGAAUUGCUUUCAAAACUGUAAGACUCGAGUCCGGGAGAGGAUAGCGGAAUUUCCAGUGUAGUAGUGAAAUACGUAGAUAUUGGAAGGAACACCAGUGGCGCAAGCGGCUAUCUGGACCGGUACUGACGCUGAGGCACGAAAGCGUGGGGAUCAAACAGG
rnacentral:rRNA from 1 species